rnacentral:rRNA from 1 species
AUUGAACGCUGGCGGCAGGCCUAACACAUGCAAGUCGAGCGGCAGCGGGAAAGUAGCUUGCCACUUUUGCCGGCGAGCGGCGGACGGGUGAGUAAUGCCUGGGAAAUUGCCCUGACGAGGGGGAUAACUACUGGAAACGGUGGCUAAUACCGCAUAACGCCUACGGGCCCAAGAGGGGGACCUUCGGGCCUCUCGCGUCAGGAUAUGCCACGGUGGGAUUAGCUGGUUGGGGAGGUAACGGCUUACCAAGGCGACGAUCCCUAGGUGGGCUGAGAGGAUGAUCAGCCACACUGGAACUGAGACACGGUCCAGACUCCUACGGGAGGCAGCAGUGGGGAAUAUUGCACAAUGGGGGAAACCCUGAUGCAGCCAUGCCGCGUGUGUGAAGAAGGCCUUCGGGUUGUAAAGCACUUUCAGCGAGGAGGAAAGGGUGGUGGCUAAUACCUGCCAGCUGUGACGUUACUCGCAGAAGAAGCACCGGCUAACUCCGUGCCAGCCGCCGCCGUAACAC